rnacentral:lncRNA from 1 species
UUUUAGAUGUAUUUCAAGCUGUGAAGAGUUUACGACUUCAGAGACCACAUAUGGUGCAAACCCUGGAACAGUAUGAAUUCUGCUACAAAGUGGUACAAGAUUUUAUUGAUAUAUUUUCUGAUUAUGCUAAUUUCAAAUGAAGAUUCCUGCCUUAAAAUAUUUUUUAAUUUAAUGGUCAGUAUAUUUUGUAAAAAUCAUGUUAAUUUAUUUCAUAGUUGACAUUAAUAUCUUCCCUAAUUUCUUUGUAUAUAUUUUGUUAUGCCUUAAAGGCCACCUGCUAUACAGUUGUUAAAUCUUAAAUAUGCUUUUUAAAAAUUGGAAUAAUGUAUUAAGGUCAAAUAAUAUCCCAUAAAAUAUAUAUUUCUGCUAAUAUUAGUAAAUAUCUUAAUUUUUCAUUAGAUUCAUAUCAUUUAAUUUCACAUAUUCAACACCUUUAAAUGUUGUAAUCUUAAUAUGCGAAGUGUGCCUCUGCAAGAUACUAACACAAAGCUCAUGUUAAGAAAACAGUUGAGGACUCAGAAGUCAGUUCGAAAAUGCACUUUCCUAACAGUGAAUUCACAACCCUGAACAGCAGCAUUUUUGGAAGGCAAACUGUUCGUGAUGGUACAAUGUAAAUGGGGACUUCUGUAAAGUUCUCAGUUUCGGUCCAUGUGGUUUAUCUUUACAUUUUAAAGAUCAAAGAAGUCUUUACAACCUGAAUCCAGGUCUAAAACACACUAGAGUAGCUGGUGACUAUAAAUAAUAUUUUAAAAUGCUGUGUCUACACCAUCAAGACUGUGUCUACACUAUCUUGGCUGAACGAGAAGAGAUGUAAAUGCUGGGUGGUCCCGUUGACCCACGGCGUUGGGUACAACAAAACCAGCCAUCGGAGUUACACCCCAAAGCACCAUUUGCUGUCCAGCUGCCUGUCGUUUGGCCCAGACCACCCUCAGAAAAAAACCAGCUGCCUCUCCCAUUCUCCCCUCCCGUUCUGCCACAGCGGCCUGGGCUGGUCCAGUGCUAUGCCUGGAGGCUCAACACAAAACUUCCCAUCCAAACAUUCAGAUGAACUGAGCGUCUUACACACGCAGUACAGAGGAGCACACAUUAGGAUAGAAACAGUAGAAUAACCACGGGCAAUUAAACUUUAAAUUUUCUGAGCAGCAUUUUGGUAUUUAAACAUUUCUUGUAAAAAGCUGAGACAGUUUGUAAGAAAAGAAUCCUUAAAAUCUAGAUUUAUACCAUUUUUUAAAGUCCCACCUUUC